UUUGAAAUCUGGCGGUCUCAGGCCGUCCGAGUUGUAAUCUAGAGAGGUGUUUUCCGUGCCGGACCGCGUACAAGUCCCUUGGAACAGGGCGUCAUAGAGGGUGAGAAUCCCGUCCGUGACGCGGACUUCCGGUGCUCUGCGAUACACCUUCAAAGAGUCGAGUUGUUUGGGAAUGCAGCUCAAAAUGGGUGGUAAAUUCCAUCUAAAGCUAAAUACAGGCGAGAGACCGAUAGCGAACAAGUACCGUGAGGGAAAGAUGAAAAGAACUUUGGAAAGAGAGUUAAACAGUACGUGAAAUUGUUGAAAGGGAAACGCUUGAAGUCAGUCGCGUCUGCCGGGACUCAGCCUUGCUUCUGCUUGGUGCACUUCCCGGUAGAUGGGCCAGCGUCGAUUUUGGUCGCCGGAAAAGGGUGGGAGGAAUGUGGCAGCUCGCUGUGUUAUAGCCUUCUAUCGUACACGGUGACUGGGAUCGAGGAC
rnacentral:rRNA from 1 species